rnacentral:rRNA from 1 species
CAGUAGCCGCGGUAAUACGAAGGGUGCAAGCGUUAAUCGGAAUUACUGGGCGUAAAGCGUGCGUAGGCGGUUUGUUAAGUCUGUUGUGAAAUCCCCGGGCUCAACCUGGGAAUGGCAGUGGAUACUGGCUCGCUAGAGUGUGUCAGAGGAUGGUGGAAUUCCCGGUGUAGCGGUGAAAUGCGUAGAGAUCGGAAGGAACAUCUGUGGCGAAGGCGACUAUCUGGGCCAACACUGACACUGAGGCACGAAAGCGUGGGGAGCAAACAGGAUUAGAUACCCGUGUAGUCCCUGUCUCUUAUAA